rnacentral:lncRNA from 1 species
AGCAGUACAUUUUUGGGGAAAUUAUAUGUUUACUGUUUUUAUGGUACUAUUUUUUAUUUUUACCACCACUAAAGAGACAUUUUCAAAAAUAUUUUAUUCAUUAAGUGGCAAAAGACUCUUAUGCCCUUGUUAUUUAUAUAUAUAAUAAAUUAUUAGUUAAAUAAAAAAAUAAAAAAAAUAAAAAAAUUAUGUUUUCGAAUUAUAUUUUUUCAAAUUCGAACUUUUUUAUAAAUUUUUUUUUUGAAAUUUUUUUUUCAAAUUUUUUUUUUCAAAUUUCUUUUUGAAAAAUGAAAAUUAUAUUUGAAACUAUUUCUUAAAAUUUUUUAUAUAUUUUUUAAGUAUUUAUUUAUAUAUUUAUCAGAAUCCUAAAUUUCACAUUCC